ACUCCUCGAAAGGGGAGCUAAUACCGCAUAAGACCACGAUCUCCUCGGGGGUUGAGGUCAAAGGUAGCCUCAAUCAACAGAGUGUUUGGGACGGCCUUUCGUCAUCGGAGGGUGGUCCUCAACACUUUGGACGAUGAAGCUGCUGCUUGAAGACGGGCUCCCGGGGGAUCAGCUGGGUGAUGAGGUAACGGCCCACCAAGGAUUCGACGGUUAGGGGGUCUGAGAGGGUGACCCCCCACACGGGUAUUGAAACACGGUCCAGACCUCUCAGGAGGCAGCAGUGGGGAAUCUUGGGCAA
rnacentral:rRNA from 1 species